GAUGAACGCUAGCUACAGGCUUAACACAUGCAAGUCGAGGGGAAACGACAUCGAAAGCUUGCUUUUGAUGGGCGUCGACCGGCGCACGGGUGAGUAACGCGUAUCCAACCUGCCCACCACUUGGGGAUAACCUUGCGAAAGUAAGACUAAUACCCAAUGAUAUCCCACGAAGGCAUCCGAAUGGGAUUAAAGAUUUAUCGGUGAUGGAUGGGGAUGCGUCUGAUUAGCUUGUUGGCGGGGUAACGGCCCACCAAGGCUACGAUCAGUAGGGGUUCUGAGAGGAAGGUCCCCCACAUUGGAACUGAGACACGGUCCAAACUCCUACGGGAGGCAGCAGUGAGGAAUAUGGUCAAUGGGCGAGAGCCUGAACCAGCCAAGUAGCGUGCAGGAUGACGGCCCUAUGGGUUGUAAACUGCUUUUAUAAGGGAAUAAAAGUGGGUCUCGUGAGACUUUUUGCAUGUACCUUAUGAAUAAGGACCGGCUAAUCCGUGCCAGCAGCGC
rnacentral:rRNA from 1 species